GUGAACAUGGUCAACAGAGGACAUCUCAUGAAGAAAGAUGGCAGUGACACAUGCAAUGUAAAUUCUUUCAGAAGAAAUGUAAUGCUCAUUGCAGCCAUCUCAGAGACACUGAGAUGUAAGAGUUAAUUAAAGAUACAACAGAUCACAUGCCUUUAUAAUAUAUUCUGAACCUAAGAGGUGCAAGUGCUUUGGUAUAUUUUCUAAACUCCCAUUUUUCCAAAUACUUGGUGAUAAAAAUUAGAAGUUGUUAUUGUUUCUAUUUUACAAGGUUCACCGAAAUUUAUAGAUCAAGACAUUGUAAUAUCCACAACCUAUUUUAGCAUUCAUGCCAGAGAAAGACUGCACUACUGUCCAGAUCAGUAAUUCUCCAAGUGUGGGCCACAUGGGGCUACCUAAUGACCCCUUGCACUGAUAUAUAAUUGCAACCCUGCUUUGGUCCUUUUGUGUGAAUUGCCCAUAAUUCCAUAGAUUUUAGUUGCUAUAAACACCAAGUUUAUUGUCUAGUAAAUUCCUAAUGAAGUUGAUAAUGGCUACUCAAACUUGGCAUUCCUAAACUAAAGCUAGGCAGCUCCUAAAAUUUAUUGGGGAAUAUAAUUCAAUAUUCUUCUAAGAAGUCUGCCACACAGUGCUUAGCAGGGAUGAAAAACUCCUAUUGCAUAAGAACACUUGCAGAUUACUGGAAGCCUCACAAAAUUUAGGAAGGGUGAUUUGUUUUCAGUGUAUCAGAAAAUCUGGAGCUAUUCAUUAUUUGAAUAGCUACCAUUAUUUUUUUAACUCAAAAUUACUAGUAAUUUAUUUUUGUUACUAAGUUGUGAGUUAUUUGGUUAAUCCUAUGGCAUUCUUCCUGUAUACUGAGAUGCCACUGUCACCAUGUUCUUUUCAUUAGAAAAUAGAAAUAGAUAGAAUAAAUGCAUUGUGGGUUUUUGUACUAAUUGGGUUCAGUAAAAAAUAAUGGAGAACAUUAGUC
rnacentral:lncRNA from 1 species